rnacentral:rRNA from 1 species
CCUACGGGGGGCAGCAGUGAGGAAUAUUGGUCAAUGGCCGAGAGGCUGAACCAGCCAAGUCGCGUGAGGGAAGACGGCCCUACGGGUUGUAAACCUCUUUUGUCGGGGAGCAAAGCGAGUCACGUGUGACUCAUUGAGAGUACCCGAAGAAAAAGCAUCGGCUAACUCCGUGCCAGCAGCCGCGGUAAUACGGAGGAUGCGAGCGUUAUCCGGAUUUAUUGGGUUUAAAGGGUGCGCAGGCGGAGGUGCAAGUCAGCGGUCAAAUGGCGGGGCUCAACCCCGUACUGCCGUUGAAACUGCAUGCCUUGAGUGCGCGAGAGGUAGGCGGAAGGCGUGGUGUAGCGGUGAAAUGCAUAGAGAUCACGCAGAACUCCGAUUGCGAAGGCAGCAUACCGGCGCGCAACUGACGCUCAUGCACGAAAGCGUGGGUAUCGAACAGGAUUAGAUACCCGUGUAGUC